AGAGUUUGAUCAUGGCUCAGAACGAACGUUGGCGGCGUGGAUUAGGCAUGCAAGUCGAACGAAUCCCGGGGCUUCGGCUCCGGGGGAAGUGGCGAAAGGGGCAGUAAGGCGUGGGUAACCUACCCCGGGGACGGGGAUAGCCUCCCUAACGGGAGGGUAAUACCUGGCGAUUUGGCGGGCGGGCAUCCGCUUGUCAGGAAACGAAUUUCGCCUCGGGAGGGGCCCACGUGAUAUUAGCUUGUUGGUGGGGUAACGGCCCACCAAGGCCAAGAUGUCUAGCGGGUGUGAGAGCACGACCCGCGCCACUGGCACUGAGACACUGGCCAGACUCCUACGGGAGGCUGCAGUCGAGGAUCUUCGGCAAUGGGCGCAAGCCUGACCGAGCGACGCCGCGUGUGCGAUGAAGGCCUUCGGGUUGUAAAGCACUGUCGAGGGGGAGGAAGCCCCGCAAGGGGUUGACCUAUCCCUGGAGGAAGCACGGGCUAAGUUCGUGCCAGCAGCCGCGGUAAUAC
rnacentral:rRNA from 1 species